UACGGAGGGUGCAAGCGUUAUCCGGAUUUACUGGGUUUAAAGGGUGCGUAGGUGGGUCUGUAAGUCAGUGGUGAAAUCUCCGAGCUUAACUCGGAAACUGCCAUUGAUACUAUAGGUCUUGAAUUAUCUGGAGGUAAGCGGAAUAUGUCAUGUAGCGGUGAAAUGCUUAGAUAUGACAUAGAACACCAAUUGCGAAGGCAGCUUACUACGGAUAUAUUGACACUGAGGCACGAAAGCCAGGGGAGCAAACGGG
rnacentral:rRNA from 1 species